AGUGACCAGAAGAAGUAGAACCAGGAUCCACCCCUUCCCACAACUCAUUUAAGGGUUGGCAGUGGGGGUGAUGAUGUCUUGCUGGAGAUUGCUGUAUACCUGGGGCCUUCUGAAGGGGUGGCAGCCAAGGGGGAAACAUCUCCAUUCAGAGAGAGCUUCCUUCUGGGAGUUUUCAGAAAGCCCGUGCCUUUGGAAUAGGCAUGAUACUUCUUCCACAGCCAUGCGUUUGAAUCCUUCUACCAGUCGUACUUGCUCAAUCUGUUUGUUUUGGAGAGCAAUAACAUUGCAGGAGCCCAGACAAUACUUUUUCACAUGCUACACCAAAGCAAUUUCCAAAUAAACUGAUAUAGUGAGCUGUUAUUUUUCUUCUCAAGAAGUGAGGGCCGUGCACUAGGAUAUGAGAAAAAUGACAAUAAUAGCAAACUACAUCUGAACAAUUACGGAAUUCUUAAUCCAAAAAUAUUUGCUGAUAUUUUGCCUUUACAGAAUACUCCAAGCUCAAAUACUAAGAAGCUUUAAUAUGACUAUUCUAUUUCAAAAAUUGGUUGCUUCUUCAUUUACAGCAAUAUACAAAAGUGAGAGGAAUAAAGCAUCUAGAAAAACAUUAAGAAUGCGAAGAAACCAUUGAAGCCUAUCUGUAGGCUUUCUUAUAAAUGAAGAAAAAUUCCCAGAUCACAAUCCAUUUUUUCAUAUGGGGAAGGUAAUUGAUCAGCAAUGACUGUAUUUAUCAAAUGAUCUCGAAUGGACAUUCUACCUGUGGCUUUUAGGGUUUAGUUCCACUUGAAGAUCAAGUUUUCCAGUGCAGUCUUGUGACUAACGCUCAGGAAAGAAGAUGAGAAGAAAAACUGGAGAGGUAAGCAGUCAGUGUCCCAGAACCUAUUCUGCUACAGUUUGUGUGACCUUGGACAGGACACUUAACAUCCAUACCUCAUUGCUUCCACUGCCAAAUUAAACAAGGCUGACCUGUCUCUGAGGAGGCUGUGAGCUUCAAUUUGUUGACAUGAGAAUACAGAAACACUCAGUGCAAAAUAGAGGCUUUCAGUAUUGCAACUAAAAAUUAAGACUUUGGCUCAGAAGCUGAAAAUCAAUGCUUUUUUCACAUAGCUUCUUGGAUGAUAACAUAGAUCCACUUGAAGUGCGGGAAGGCUAUGAGGAAUCAGAACACUAACAAAUCACAGAAUGAAUGAACAGAAACAUCCAGCACAAGUUUCUUAGCUGUCCUCACUUCUGCUACUUUGAUUAAUAGGGAACAAUGAAAUAAACAGUGCUCGAAGACAAACUGAGCAGCAAGAAUUGUAACAGAAUUUGAUGCUAAAAUAUGUAGUCCACUGUAAAAACAUAUUGAUAAAUGGAGUUUCUCUGCUAGCAUAAAAAACCCACAGAGAUGGAAGCAAAUUCAAGUAAAUACACUCAUUAGGAAACUCAGAACCAUGCAUCAUUUAAUGUCUGUUAUUCAGCAACAGCAGCACCAAAGUAACUUCUGUUAUUCAAACUGAGGUAUUAAUUUUCGAACAAAAAAAAAAGGAGAGAGUAGAAAGUGUGAGCCUGUUUCACCCUUAAUGCGCCUACUGAAGAGGAUAUCAAGUCCAGGAAAGGGCUCAAAACAGCAUCCCAGCCCUGAUGGAGUGGGGACUGUAGAGACUGAUGCGCUUUAGAAGGAAGAGGAGCACUCUUCUUGCAGCAACAACAGGGGAUGCCACUAGUAGGACCCUUAAGUCACCUUAUUGCCAAGUUUUUAAUACAAUACUGCCAUCUAUUGCCCGAAUAAUCAGAAUUGAAAGAGGUUGGAAAUUACAAGGCGAUCUGUCCUUUAAGAUGGUCCCAGAUCUGAAACAAUAUGCAGCUCCUUGCCAGCCAGUUGCUGCGGAAGUUUUAUCCUAGACCUAUCUGUGAGUUCCCAUCCUAAGCAUGUUACUGUGACAGGUUGCUGCCUAAAUGAAACAUAAUAAAAGAUAAGAAAAUCAGGCUGCACUGUUGCUGAUAAGGUGAGAAAAAAGAUGAGAAAAGAUCUAAGUGAUAUGUUCUGACUAAACUUUUCUAAAUUAACUGCAUUAAUGUUUCAAAUACCACACUGAACUGGAGACUUCAGAAGAUGUACAAUGAAGGAACCUGAAAAGCUGACUUCAAAUGUUUACAGUGUUGGAGCACUACUAAAUAACCCAAGGAUCAAAGGAGAGAGAAAAUUGUAUAAAUCAAUCUUUCUAAAAUAUAACAGUAAAUCUCUCUAAAGCAGUAAUUUAGCUAAGAGUAAGAUCAGACAAAGGAUUUUCCUACUUCUAAAACAGGUUACUUGCAAUGUCCACUCACUGUUUGCUAUCCAACUUGGAAUGCGCGCUUCUUAAUUCAUCAUUGAACAGCAUUGUACACAUGAGUGAACUUAGGUGUGUAGGAAUAAAACUCAGUUUAGGCCAUAACUGUUGGAUCUGAUUUUCAUGGUGUUGUUCCAAGGCAGAUAAAAGAUUUCUGAUGCUGGUCAAUAAACACAGUGCAGGCAGAUUCAGAUAGUGUUGAAUAAAUUCUUUGUUUUUAUUUUGAGAGAGUAAGUUGUGUGCUUAGUUAUCCUAGGGAAAGAAAUUGAGUUUUCUUCCAUGAGGAAAGAUUGUAGAGAACUAGGCUUUCUGUAUGGGCAAGGAGGGGAGCAAGGCAAAAAAGGGAUAGCAUUAACAAUAUGGUAGCUUUCAUCCACAAUAAAAAUGUUUUCAAAAAGUGUAAAACAAAAAAGAAUUGUCUGAAAUCUCCUUUUUCAAACUGCAGGCAGUGCUGUCACAACAGGGGGGAAAAAAAAAAAAAACGUCACAUUCUACUACUCUGUAAGGUUUUGUCAUUUGAAAUACGUUUGUUUAAAUCUCUCAUGAGCAUACACUAGCUGCCCAAAUGAGCUCAGCCCUAUGAGGAAACACUUGAGAUCCAAAGCAAAGGAACAUGAAGCUGCACUGAAUCUCUCUGGGAAAU